UCUCCGUUGGUGAACCAGCGGAGGGGACAUUAUCGAGUUUAUAACUCCCAAACCCUAUGUGAACUUACCACUUGUUGCUUCGGCGCGCGCUUCGGUGCCGCCGAGGACACUUAAACUCUUUGUUUUUAUAAGCAUUUCUGAGUGGCCGAAAGGCAAAAUACAAAUGAAUCAAAACUUUCAACAACGGAUCUCUUGGUUCUG
rnacentral:misc_RNA from 1 species